CAGAAUUUUCCCAGUUGUAGAAAGAUGGGGCCAGGUGCAGUGGCUCACGCCUGUAAUCCCAGCAUUUUGGGAGUACAAGGUGGGCGGAUCACCUGAGGUCAGGAGUUCGAGACCAGCCUGGCCAACAUGGUGAAACCCUGUCUCUACUAAAAAAAAAAAAAAAAAUUAGCCGGGCGUGGCGAUGCAUGCCUCCUCCCGAGUAGCUGGGACUACAGGCGCCCGCCACCUCGCCCGUCUAAUUUUUUGUAUUUUUAGUAGAGGCGGGGCUUCACCGUGUUAGCCAGGAUGGUCUCAAUCUCCUGACCUCGUCAUCCGCCCGUCUCGGCCUCCCAUAGUGCUGGGAUUACAGGCAUGAGCCACCACGCCCGGCUGUUUUAUUUCUUAUAACUGUACAGGAAUCUACAAUGAUUGUAACAAAAAUUUCAAUUAAGGCCACUCUAGGCACAUGGCCUGUGGGGUAGCCCUGCUCAACAAGAAGCCGUCAAAAAAAUGUUUUUUAAUU
rnacentral:lncRNA from 1 species